UGGGGAAUAUUGGACAAUGGGGGGCAACCCUGAUCCAGCAAUGCCGCGUGUGUGAAGAAGGUCUUCGGAUUGUAAAGCACUUUCGACGGGGACGAUGAUGACGGUACCCGUAGAAGAAGCCCCGGCUAACUUCGUGCCAGCAGCCGCGGUAAUACGAAGGGGGCUAGCGUUGCUCGGAAUGACUGGGCGUAAAGGGCGUGUAGGCGGUUUACACAGUCAGAUGUGAAAUCCCCGGGCUUAACCUGGGAGCUGCAUUUGAUACGUGUAGACUAGAGUGUGAGAGAGGGUUGUGGAAUUCCCAGUGUAGAGGUGAAAUUCGUAGAUAUUGGGAAGAACACCGGUGGCGAAGGCGGCAACCUGGCUCAUGACUGACGCUGAGGCGCGAAAGCGUGGGGAGCAA
rnacentral:rRNA from 1 species